GUUAAGCUUAAGCAUUACAAGUCAGAUUUAAGGUUAGACAUUAGGGGUAGGUUAAAUGCUGAGUGAAUGCUCUCAUAGUGACAUCAGUCCUGAAAGAUGAAGCAUCUUCUGGUUUGUCUUCUCUCCUCUUUCUGGUCGAUCUCUUCUUGGGGUAUAACAAACACAGGGUUAGUGGUGAUACAGUCUCCUCAUUAUGUGACAGUAACUGAGGGGGAAACUGUUCACAUCCAGUGCUGCUGGAAUAAAAAUUUGACGAGGGUCACAGUUAAUUGGAAGAACAAUGCAGCAAAUACGUAUGAGCUUGUCAAUAAGAGUCAGUGUCAGAAGAGCGCUUCUGAACAGAACGUAUCCUGUUGUUCAAAUCUGACCAUCUCAAACCUGAAUAGAAGUGACUCCGGGACAUACACCUGUAAAGUAUCUUCAGAGAUACCAGUUCUUCAACAGUCUGUGGGGAAUGGGACACAUCUUACAGUAACUUCAAAAAAUGAUGGAAUCAGUGGUGACCUACAUAACAAUCUGCAUUGGUCUAUCAUUGCUCUUCUGGUUCUCCUGCCUCCCCCAUUACUCCUGGCCCUCCUCUACCUGUACAGAGUGAAAAGAAAACAAGGUCAAACAGUCUUCUGACAUGUUUAUCUUUAUAUGUAUAGUAAACUUUUGUGCUCAUGAAACAGUU
ensembl:lncRNA